GGUUUUGUUGUGACUUGAUAGCUAUUUGUCUGGUGGCCAGGAGGGAGGUGCAUAUCAUCUUGCAAAGCAGAGGCCCUGCACCCUCUUCAACCAUGAGGGGAGCUUUAGCCCUUAACAGUGGGCAGGGGGCUGCUUCUGCAGGCCCAGUGGGUUCAGUGGAAUCUGGAGAUUCAAGAUUUUUUUAAUGCAUUGACCCAGAUGUGCCAUCCCAAGUCUCUGAGUUCUGAUCCUUCUCUACGGGAGUAUGACCUGACAGAGCAGAUGAGCUCUGAUUGAGAAUCCAACCCCUCUGACCUCUCUGAAGCUGCAUUACCCUUAUAAUGAAUUCUGGGGAUGAUCCUUAGCUUUUUCUGCCCUCCAGCUACAGAGUCUCCAUAUGCUGCCAAGAGACUUUCACACUUUGUCUCAAACUGAUGAUUAAGUACUCUCAAACUUCCAUUGUCUUCCUUUAAGCAUUGCUAGCCCCAGAGCCAUCUGAUUUCACAGUCCUUAUAUUACCAGUUCACUCAAACCUCUCAAAUGCCUGGGAAUUUGCUUCCACCAGUGCCUCCCUUCCAUCAGUUUCCCAUCAUUCCUGUACAUCCCCAGUGAAAGUUUAAACAAGUGCAGCACACUAGAAUGCCAGGGGCUAUUAGUGCUCUACCUUCCAGCUCCAAAGACCUAUUUUAGAAUCUGCUUCCUAAAAAUUACUCCUGGCCUCAGCUGCCUCAUGUCUGGGUCCCUGCCUGCCAACAGAUUUGUGAUGGAUAUUUACAUGCUGGAGGUUUACUGGCCCAUGGUCUCAGAAACAAUACUUGCAAGGGAGUAAAUGAAGCAGGUUGAGCAGAGGGAGAAGUGGAACCGGGUUGUAGUUGCAUCAGAGCCUCAACCGAUGCUACAGGGAAGUUUGAACCUGAGGUGGCCCUUCGGAGUUGUCUCAGAUCUAGGCAGGAGGACUAUGCUUUUGUACUUCUGCCCUGACCAAUCAUUGGCAGACCACAUAAAGCUUGGGCUAGGCAGAGGAUAGUCUUUGGAUGGGAAUAAAUAAAGCCUGGGCAUUUAUGAACAUGAAACAAUGCCUGGAGGCUCAGCUGCGAGAGCUGUGAGCCAUCAGCAGCCAAUCCUCCCUACAGCUGCGGAAUAAGCGGUCUGGUUUUGAAGGGGAGAGAGAGAGGUAGUGCACUAGGAGCCACUGACCUGAAGAAGGGGUUGACCCAGCAGAAGGCAGAGAGGAAGGGCAUAAAGACACCAGGUUCUUGGUGACAUCCUUUGAGCUACAGGAUGAAACCGUGCCUGAAGCCACAUUUCAAGUAUACGUUUCAGGUAAGCAUGAAGGCAGGUUCUCUUUGUUUAAGCCACGUGAGUUGGGAUUUCUGCUGCUGGAUAAAAUCUUGCCUGAAGCGGCAUUUUAUUUGCACUUUUCUCUAAAGCAUGCAGUCAAAUUCUCCUUGUUUAAACCAUGUGAAUUGGGCUUUCUAUCACUUGUAACAUAAAGACUCUCCAUGGGCUGGGCAUGGUGACUCAGGCCUGUUAUCCCAACACUUUGGGAGGACGACAAGGGAGGAUUGCUUGAGCUCAGGAGUUCAAGACCAAUCUGGGCAACAUAGUGAGACCUCAUCUCUACUAUAAAUUUUAAAAAAUCAGCUGGACAUAAUGGUGCAUGCGUGUAGUCCCUGCUACUCAGGAGACUGACGUGGAAGGAUCACUUGAGCCCAGGAGAUCAAAGCUUCAGUGAACCAUGAUUGUACUCCUGCACUCCAGCCUGGGUAACAGAGUGAGAUCCUGUCUCAGAAAAAAGAAAAAAAAAAAAA
ensembl:lncRNA